AAGGUCUGAGUGAGGGGAAAACUAUUUCCAUCAAAGGCUGGGUCCCCCACAAUACCAAGAGCAGGUCAUCAGUCUUCACAAGCUGCAUCCUAUCAGCGUCUCUUCAAGUCAGCCUCCAUAUGGCAUGAUGUCUAACAUGCUCUCCCAGACUUGCCUCUUCUCCACUGUCCUGCCAUCUUGCCUCUCAAUUCCUCUCUGGUGGAGCUGCUGCUAUGCCGAACUGUUUCCCCUGCCUUCAUCCUCCCACAGAGCUUCUGUUCCAAAAGAUCACUUUGCAUUCCAGAUUUUCAGUUAAUCUUGUGUGUGGGAAUGAUGACAUUGCCUUCUACUUCAACCUACGAUUUGAUGAAGUUCAGAUGGUUAUAUGCAACACAAUGAAAGAUGGCCAGUGGGGUGCUGAGCAACAGACUCAUAAAAUGCCCUUCCAUCCGGGUGACUCUUUCGAGAUAGCCACAAGGAACUGUUAUCAGGUCUGAGUACUUCAGAGCAGAAGAAAGAAAGAGCGGAGGUCAAGAACCAUUGAGUAGAGGGCCUUCCUCCACCCAGCCCAGGAUAUUCCCCAAAACUUGCUGGCUUGCCAUGAUGCUCUUAUCUAGGUGAGCUUCUGUGGGCUGGAUCACCAGCCCUCCUCACACGAUGAAAUCUAAGAUUUCUUCCUCCAGCGAAAUGAAGCCAACUCUGCCAUUGAAUCUAAUAGCAGUGGUCUUGCACGUGGCCGUGUCCAGAGUCAACCAGCUGGACCCAGAACGAGAACAUUGAGGUGCUCCAGAGGAUGAUCAGGGCUUUGCUGGAGGAGGCCCCCUCUGUCUGGAACUUAAUCAGCAUCUUGAAGGCUGCAAAGAGUCUGCCGUUGCUGCAGGCGGCUGUUUAAGACCUCCCCCGUCAGUGACUCUGCCAAGGGCAAGCCCCCCAGAGGGAGGUUCUUUAAACGGAAACACCGCGUUGAGCCUACUCCAGCACCACCUCCAACUCCCACAGUGGGCUCCCCGGCAGUAUCAAGAGUCACCAUCGAUGAGCAGGUGCCUCAGGUUGGGACUGGGGCUGACUCUUUGGGGAAGAUCUGACUACUGGAGUGGAGAAAAUGGAAAGAGCUGAGGUCAUCCUCUGCUGGGCUGAAUUCUUGACGUCCGUUAUUGAUGGUAUUAAGGAUGCCAAGUCCUGUGAAAGUGAGAUGCUGUCGUAUGAAAAAGACAAGGCUGUGGACACCGUACUGGAGAGUGAGAUGUGGCAGAGAAUGGAAGAGGAUGACCAAGCGCAGGCUCAGUCAAAACCUGACUGCCAAAAGUGUGUGUUUGAGGCUGGUGCUAUCCCAAUGAAGUCCAUGGGUACUGACCAACUCUCUUCUGCUCUUUGAUCUCUGCCAGGAAAUUAUGGAGGACUGUCUGUGGUAGGCCUCCCGAGUGGGCAUGUCUCAAACUCCCAACCCCUCUCACAGGGGUAAAAAUGGUUCUUGCAGGCAAAGAAGUUGCAGCAAAACUGUGAGGUCUGGAAGCCAUGAUUGCCUUCCGCUUUGGAAACCCCAAGGCAAAAAGUGACCCAUUAGAUCCUCCUCCAUUUGUUCAGUAUGUAUAAGUCCCUCCUUACCUAAAUCAGUUAACAUCAGAAUAUUACGUCUUUUCUCUACUCUUCUCUUCUCUUCUCUUCUCUUCUCUUCUCUUCUCUUCAGAUGGCCUUGUCUUCGAGGACUUCCAUGAAAAGGAGGAGUUUGUCUGAUCGCCCAUUUGCUUCCUUUUCUUUUUAAUGCUCCUAAAGCUAGGAGAAUAGCUGCCUGGAAGUAUUAUAUGUUUUUAAGAAUACAUACCAUACCAUAUCAUAUCAUAUGACAUGAUUGAUUUUAACAAUGACUUUGAAAUGGUUCUGUAUUGUAUUUUGUAUUUCCUUCACCCCUCCCCCCUUUUUUGAUCUGUUAUGAUUUAAUUUUUUGUUUGUUUUAUCUUAAUGAAUACAGUUUCUUGUUCUUA